rnacentral:rRNA from 1 species
GAUGAACGCUGGCGGCGUGCCUAAUACAUGCAAGUCGAGCGAACAGAUGAGGAGCUUGCUCCUCUGACGUUAGCGACGGACGGGUGAGUAACACGUGGGUAACCUACCUAUAAGACUGGGAUAACUUCGGGAAACCGGAGCUAAUACCGGAUAAUAUAUUGAACCGCAUGGUUCAAUAGUGAAAGACGGUUUUGCUGUCACUUAUAGAUGGAUCCGCGCCGCAUUAGCUAGUUGGUAAGGUAACGGCUUACCAAGGCAACGAUGCGUAGCCGACCUGAGAGGGUGAUCGGCCACACUGGAACUGAGACACGGUCCAGACUCCUACGGGAGGCAGCAGUAGGGAAUCUUCCGCAAUGGGCGAAAGCCUGACGGAGCAACGCCGCGUGAGUGAUGAAGGUCUUCGGAUCGUAAAACUCUGUUAUUAGGGAAGAACAAAUGUGUAAGUAACUAUGCACGUCUUGACGGUACCUAAUCAGAAAGCCACGGCUAACUACGUG